rnacentral:rRNA from 1 species
UACGGGGGGAGCAAGCGUUGUUCGGAUUUACUGGGCGUAAAGGGCGCGUAGGCGGCCAGCACAAGUCAGUUGUGAAAUCUCCGAGCUUAACUCGGAACGGUCAACUGAUACUGUGCGGCUAGAGUGCGGAAGGGGCAACUGGAAUUCUUGGUGUAGCGGUGAAAUGCGUAGAUAUCAAGAGGAACACCGGUGGCGAAGGCGGCAUCCUGGACCGGCAUUGACGCUGAGGAGCGAAAGCCAGGGGAGCAAACGGG